UACGUAGGGGGCAAGCGUUGUCCGGAUUUAUUGGGCGUAAAGAGCGUGUAGGCGGCCACACAGGUCUGCUGUGAAAACUCGAGGCUCAACCUCGAGCUGUCGGUGGAAACCGUGUGGCUAGAGUCCGGAAGAGGAGAGUGGAAUUCCCGGUGUAGCGGUGAAAUGCGCAGAUAUCAGGAGGAACACCUGUGGCGAAAGCGGCGCACUGGACCACAACUGACGCUGAGGCGCGAAAGCUAGGGGAGCAAACAGG
rnacentral:rRNA from 1 species